UAAUUAAAUAAUAUUUUGGACCCAAUGCAUGAUUCAUCUCUCCAGCAGAGCCCAGGAACUUCAAGCAAAAGAGACAAACAAGGCCUUGAGGAAUGUACACAGAAGUUGUCUGGCUCAGUGGUCCUGGUCUGUGGCAGGAAAGUUAGAGGUGAACCUUGUUGCUUACAGAUGGAGAAAUCCCGUAUGUUCAUGAAGGCAGACAUUUACAAAGAUGACUCCAACCAUUGAAGAGUCGAACCGACUGGGAACACAUCUAUGGCACAUCCCCAAGCUCACAGUUCCCUUGGAAAAAGAAUGGCAAGAAAUGAUAUAAAGAUUUUGAAGGGGUUUGUGGUAUUCCACUCCAGUUUUCCGAGGAAGAAGAUGAUAUGUAUGGGUUUGUGUUUCCUUCAUGAGAAUUUGAAUACAGGAUAUAUUAAUUAAACAUAUAUCUUCAUUUUCCUGAUGGAGAAACUUGAGUCAGCAGUGAUUAAAUUACCCAGCUAUUUGGUUGCAGAGCUAAGACUACCCAUGGUUUUUACUCCUGUUCUACAUUCUUUUUUAUUACAAUUAUUAAUGGAAGAGUUUUGGGUUUUCAUAGAAGACCAAAGCAAGAGAAAGUUUAAAUCGUCAAGAAAGUUUAGAUAGAUAAAGGAAGCUUAUUUAAGUGUAAAGGAACUAAAUACUAUUAUUUUCUUUAUUUUAAGAUGUAUAUAUAUAUGUAUAUGUAUAUGUGUGUAUAUGUGUGUGUGUGUGUGUGUGUGUGUAUACACGCUAAUAUUCCGAAAUCAGCCUGACCCUUAGAAACAAUGUUAAGUCAUAGUUGCUUCCAGGAAGUAUGUCAAGUUGUGAGAUGAUCCUCUUUACUUGGAAGAAUUUAGCCACUGACAUUCUCAUGUAAUAGAUUAUGGAAUUGACAAAACUACUUAGUUUUGUUGGCUUACUUUGCGAAAGAAACUAUUUACCAUCCAGCAGUAUGUAAUUCCAUUAAGAAAUAAAAAACAGAAUUUGAAAUGCAAGUCACUGGUAUUAUUUCAUCUGACUUGAAGUGUAAACCAGGUAAAGCUGUUAAGAAGGGAUUAGGCAGUCUCACCACCUCUGCUAGUCUCACAGUUGUCUGUCGGGGCCAAACUUAAUUCUGAAGAAUUUUUAGACUGGGUGUGAAAAGGGUAGACCCAAAUCUUGUAAAUCCCAAAAGGAAAUGGUAUGCAACUGUAGGGAUAGGUACGUGUCAUAAUGGUGUUAGUAUACUUUAU
rnacentral:lncRNA from 1 species